GCCAGUGUGGCAUAGUGGUUUGAGUUGAACUACAACUCUGGAGACCAGGGUUCAAUUCUCUGCUCGGUCA